rnacentral:rRNA from 1 species
AUUGAACGCUGGCGGCAUGCUUUACACAUGCAAGUCGAACGGUAACAGGCCGCAAGGUGCUGACGAGUGGCGAACGGGUGAGUAAUGCAUCGGAACGUGCCCAGUCGUGGGGGAUAACGCAGCGAAAGCUGCGCUGAUACCGCAUACGAUCUCUGGAUGAAAGCCGGGGACCGAAAGGCCUCGCGCGAUUGGAGCGGCCGAUGUCAGAUUAGGUAGUUGGUGGGGUAAAGGCCCACCAAGCCAACGAUCUGUAGCUGGUCUGAGAGGACGACCAGCCACACUGGGACUGAGACACGGCCCAGACUCCUACGGGAGGCAGCAGUGGGGAAUUUUGGACAAUGGGCGCAAGCCUGAUCCAGCAAUGCCGCGUGCAGGAAGAAGGCCUUCGGGUUGUAAACUGCUUUUGUACGGAGCGGAAAGGUCUCCUCUAAUACCCAAGAUGAGUGGACGUUACUCGCAGAAUAAGCACCGGCUAACUCUGUGCCAGCCGCUGCCGUAA